rnacentral:rRNA from 1 species
GUUUUUUGAUUAUAAUAAAAAAUUUAACCUGCUCAAUGAAAUAUUAAAUAGCUGCAGUAUAUUGACUGUACAAAGGUAGCAUAAUCAAUAGUUUUUUAAUUGAAAGCUGGAAUGAAUGGUUUGAUGAAAUAAAAUCUUUUUUAGAUUUAAAAAAUUUAAAAUUUUUUUGUUAGUUAAAAAGCUAACAUAUUUUUAAAAGACGAGAAGACCCUAUAGAGUUUUAUAAUUUUAUAUAAAGAAUUAAUUUAAAUUUUUAUUUUUUUUUAAAAAAUUAUUUAAUUGGGGUGAUUUUUAAAAGUUAAUAAACUUUAAUUUAUUAUGAUUUCAAAAAUGAUUGUAUUUAAAGAUCUUUAAUUUUUAAUUAAAAGAAUAAAUUACCUUAGGGAUAACAGUGUAAUUUUUUUGGAUAGAUCUUAUUGAUAAAAAAGAUUGC